GAUGAAGAACGUAGCGAAAUGCGAUAAGUAAUGUGAAUUGCAGAAUUCAGUGAAUCAUCGAAUCUUUGAACGCACAUUGCGCCCGCCAGUAUUCUGGCGGGCAUGCCUGUCCGAGCGUCAUUUCAACCAUCAAGCCCCGGGCUUGUGUUGGGGACCUGCGUCCGACGCAGGCCCUGAAAACCAGUGGCGGGCUCGCUGUCCACACCGAGCGUAGUAACUAACCUCGCUAUGGAGUGGCGCGGGCGCCUGCCGUAAAACCCCCAAUUUCACAAGGUUGACCUCGGAUCAGGUAGGAAUACCCGCUGAACUUAAGCAUAUCAAUAAGCGGAGG
rnacentral:misc_RNA from 1 species